CCUACGGGAGGCAGCAGUGAGGAAUAUUGGUCAAUGGUCGGGAGACUGAACCAGCCAAGCCGCGUGAGGGAUGAAGGUACAGAGUAUCGUAAACCUCUUUUGUCAGGGAACAAAGGCGGGGACGCGUCCCCGGAUGAGUGUACCUGAAGAAAAAGCAUCGGCUAACUCCGUACCAGCAGCCGCGGUAAUAAGGAGGAUGCGAGCGUUAUCCGGAUUUAGUGGGGUUAAAGGGUGCGCAGGCGGUCUUUUAAGUCAGCGGUCAAAGCCCGGGGCUCAACCCCGGCCCGCCGUUGAAACUGGCAGUCUCGAGUUGGAGAGAAGUAUGCGGAAUGCGCGGUGUAGCGGUGAAAUGCAUAGAUAUCGCGCAGAACUCCGAUUGCGAAGGCAGCAUGCCGGCUCCACACUGACGCUGAGGCACGAAAGCGUGGGUAUCGAACAGGAUUAGAUACCCCAGUAGUC
rnacentral:rRNA from 1 species